UUAACUCGAUUUUGUAUGGAGUAGGAACGUUUACUUAGGUUUGCCGCUAGGGGCGCUGAUUCAACUGCAUACAUAUUUGAGUUA
rnacentral:pre_miRNA from 1 species